GAUCCUGGCUCAGGAUGAACGCUGGCGGCGUGCUUAACACAUUCAAGUCGAACGGGAAACUUUUCUAUUGAAGCUUCGGCAGAUUUGGUCUGUUUCUAGUGGCGGACGGGUGAGUAACGCGUGGGUAACCUGCCUUAUACAGGGGGAUAACAACCAGAAAUGGUUGCUAAUACCGCAUAAGCGCACAGGACCGCAUGGUCCGGUGUGAAAAACUCCGGUGGUAUAAGAUGGACCCCGCGUUGGAUUAGCUAGUUGGCAGGG
rnacentral:rRNA from 1 species